GUGAGAGCAGGGGGAGAGAGAUCGCUAAUUCAAAAGAGGAGGGGUGCCACAGCCCUGGAAUUCUAGUCUGCCAGAGCCAGGGUUCCCCGGGAGUAUGAACGGCUGUGGGGGUCCAGCAGCUGUGGGGAAAACAGCCUGGUUCUUGCUGCCAUCUCUGCACUAAUGUACAGCAGCUGCUGAGCUCAUCCAAGAGAUGGCUGGAGCGGGAUGGGACCUUGCUAGAAUACAGCGAGCAUCGUGCGUGGAUAUCGGCAAAGUGGUCACGCAUGUGCCUUACUGUGUAGACAUCAAAAGUUCGAUGGUGUAUGAACGAUGGAUUCUCCUGAGACAAGACAUUUCAGAAUUGUGGGGAUGACUUUGUGGGCUGGCACUUUUCAAGGCACAAAUUCACAUAAAUCACCUAGAUUGUAUUUUCACAACAGACACACAAACACAACCCAGCCCACGACUGGUUGCUAUGUGUGAUUUUUAAGCAAACUCUCGUUGACGAUAAUCUCUGGGGGCUGCCAAGCUGGUUUCCUUCCUGUUGGUAUAAAGUCCCCCAGUGACUCCUUAUCGGUCUUGACUUUCUUCCUAUUUACUAAUAACUUCUCAAUGCACAGCCUAGAGUGAAACAGAACUACAGUGAAUAUAUUUCAAAUAAUGGGAUUUUCGUGUAUAUGCUUCUGGGAUAAUGGCCCCAAAUAUGCCCCUGGGAACAAAUUAACUGCAAAGGUUUGCAUCUGUGAUUCGGAUUUCCUGCUGAACUUGCUUUGAAAGAGCAAAUACGUGUGGAAUGAAGCUGCUUUGUAGGUUUCCUCUUUAUACAAGACCUCCUUUCUGCUUAAUCACCUAGAUUGACUCCGUGAAAGCACAAAUGGAUGUAGUUCACUGAAGAGCAUUUCCGAAACAUGUGUCUUUCCUGUGAUGAUGUAUAAUUAAUCACCUCCAGGCAAGGCAAACAAGUCAAGGUGGCUUUUAAAGACUCUGUCAGUCUUUCUUCUUCUCUUCCUGUCUUGUCUUGUCAGAAGAAUCUGCAACUCUCCUCUGAUUUUCUCUGCUCCGAGCCUAAUGUGACCAUGUAAGUUCCAUCAGUGGCUCCUUUGAACCGCUCUUCACUCCUCUGGAUGCAGAGGCCAAGUCUACACAGCGGAUAACACAGACAAAUAAAUGCAAGGGUCUGAAUCAACACACACGGAAAUCUCUGCAGCUGCCAACCUGCUUCAGUUUCCUUUCUCCUUCCUCUUCCAGCUGGACCCAACCAGGGGCCCUUUACACAACAGUGCUUUCGUUCAUCCUGCCCCUCUCUGGUGAUGACAUCUCUGCAGGAAAAACUCCCCUCUCAGGCAUGUGUAUUGUGGCGAGGAUUCUCAGAGGGCACCUCAGGUUGAAGCCUUCUUUCUUACUGGGCCCAGAAAAGUUCUCUUCUCUGAUAAGACAACUCAGAGCAUCAGUGAGUAGACUGGGAAGGUGUAGAAGCAGAGAUGAAGGUGGUUUCAUCUAUGCUCACUCAUAAAUCACUGUGGCCUUGGCAUUCCCAAAGCAAGUGCGUUGUUACGUGUAGCUGCUACGCAAAAAGCUGUGGAAGUCCUAAUGCCAAGUGUCUGUGAAUGGGACCGUCUUGGGAAACAGGAUCUUCGCAGGUGAUCACGCUAAGAAGAGGUCGUGAGGAUGGGCCCUGAUCCAAUAUGACUGGGAUCUUUAUAGAAAGAGGAAAUUUGGACACAGAGGCAGACAAACAUGCAAGGAGAUGCCAAGUAAGAUGAAGGCAGAGAUUGGGGUGAUGCUUCUAUAAUCCAGGAACAAUACAGAUUGCCAGCAAACCACCCGAAGCCAGGAGUCAGACGUGGAACACAUACUCCCUCCCAGUCCUCAGAAGGAACCAACCCUGCCUACACCUUGACCUUGGACUUCUAGCCUCCUGAACUGUGAGACGUUACAUUUCUGCUGUUCUA
ensembl:lncRNA